rnacentral:rRNA from 1 species
UACGGAGGGUGCGAGCGUUGUCCGGAAUCACUGGGCGUAAAGGGCGCGUAGGCGGCGCGGGGAGUCAACGGUGAAAGCUCGGCGCUCAACGCCGAGUCGGCCGUCGAUACUCCCGUGCUUGAGCACUGUAGAGGCAGGUGGAAUUCCGGGUGUAGCGGUGGAAUGCGUAGAGAUCCGGAAGAACACCGGUGGCGAAGGCGGCCUGCUGGGCAGUAGCUGACGCUGAGGCGCGACAUCGUGGGGAGCAAACAGG